AACGCACAUUGCGCCCCUUGGUAUUCCGGGGGGCAUGCCUGUUCGAGCGUCAUUUCAACCCUCAAGCACAGCUUGGUCUUGGGCCCUGCCGGCAACGGCUGGCCUUAAAAACAGUAGCGGCGCCAUCGAGCUCUACGCGUAGUAAUUAUACCCUCGCGUGUGAGUCCCGGUGGAUGCUGGCCAGCAACCCCCAAUUUUCUAUGGUUGACCUCGAAUCAGGUAGGGAUACCCGCUGAACUUAA
rnacentral:misc_RNA from 1 species